GACGAACGCUGGCGGCGUGCCUAAUACAUGCAAGUAGAACGCUGAAGGAGGAGCUUGCUUCUCUGGAUGAGUUGCGAACGGGUGAGUAACGCGUAGGUAACCUGCCUGGUAGCGGGGGAUAACUAUUGGAAACGAUAGCUAAUACCGCAUAAGAUUGACUAUUGCAUGAUAGUCAGUUAAAAGGUGCAAUUGCAUCACUACCAGAUGGACCUGCGUUGUAUUAGCUAGUUGGUGGGGUAACGGCUCACCAAGGCGACGAUACAUAGCCGACCUGAGAGGGUGAUCGGCCACACUGGGACUGAGACACGGCCCAGACUCCUACGGGGGGCAGCAGUAGGGAGUCUUCGGCAAUGGACGGAAGUCUGGCCGAGCGACGCCGCGUGAGUGAAGAAGGUUUUCGGAUCGUAAAGCUCUGUUGUAAGAGAAGAACGAGUGUGAGAGUGGAAAGUUCACACUGUGACGGUAUCUUACCAGAAAGGGACGGCUAACUACGUG
rnacentral:rRNA from 1 species